GAUCCUGGCUCAGGAUGAACGCUAGCUACAGGCUUAAUACAUGCAAGUCGAGGGGCAGCGGGAUUGAAGCUUGCUUCAAUUGCCGGCGACCGGCGCACGGGUGAGUAACGCGUAUCCAACCUUCCGUACACUCAGGGAUAGCCUUUCGAAAGAAAGAUUAAUACCCGAUGGUAUGAUGAGAUUGCAUGAUAGCAUCAUUAAAGAUUUAUCGGUGUACGAUGGGGAUGCGUU
rnacentral:rRNA from 1 species